rnacentral:hammerhead_ribozyme from 1 species
GUUUAACUGGCGAGUCCCAAGGACGAAACACGCGUCCUGGAU